GUCUACAGCCAUACCACCCUGAACGCGCCCGAUCUCAUCUGAUCUCGGAAAAACAGCUGUCAAUUAGCAUAGAAAUCAGUAUUACAGUAUAUGCUCUAUUUACUGUACUUU
rnacentral:rRNA from 1 species